rnacentral:rRNA from 1 species
GAUGAACGCUGGCGGCGUGCUUAACACAUGCAAGUCGAACGAUGAAGCCCAGCUUGCUGGGUGGAUUAGUGGCGAACGGGUGAGUAACACGUGAGUAACCUGCCCUUAACUCUGGGAUAAGCCUGGGAAACUGGGUCUAAUACCGGAUAGGAGCGUCCACCGCAUGGUGGGUGUUGGAAAGAUUUAUCGGUUUUGGAUGGACUCGCGGCCUAUCAGCUUGUUGGUGAGGUAAUGGCUCACCAAGGCGACGACGGGUAGCCGGCCUGAGAGGGUGACCGGCCACACUGGGACUGAGACACGGCCCAGACUCCUACGGGAGGCAGCAGUGGGGAAUAUUGCACAAUGGGCGCAAGCCUGAUGCAGCGACGCCGCGUGAGGGAUGACGGCCUUCAGGUUGUAAACCUCUUUCAGUAGGGAAGAAGCGAAAGUGACGGUACCUGCAGAAGAAGCACCGGCUAACUACGUG